rnacentral:tRNA from 1 species
GAGAGAUGUCCGAGUGGUCGAAGGAGCUGGACUCGAAAUCCAGUGUACUGGUUUUCCGGUACCGAGGGUUCGAAUCCCUCUCUCUCC